GGGUUGUGAGGUUAAGCGACUAAGCGUACACGGUGGAUGCCUUGGCAGUCAGAGGCGAUGAAGGGCGUGCUAAUCUGCGAUAAGCGCCGGUAAGGUGAUAUGAACCGUUAUAACCGGCGAUACCCGAAUGGGGAAACCCAGUGUGACUCGUCACACUAUCAUUAACUGAAUCCAUAGGUUAAUGAGGCGAACCGGGGGAACUGAAACAUCUAAGUACCCCGAGGAAAAGAAAUCAACCGAGAUUCCCCCAGUAGCGGCGAGCGAACGGGGAGGAGCCCAGAGCCUGAAUCAGCAUGUGUGUUAGUGGAAGCGUCUGGAAAGGCGCGCGAUACAGGGUGACAGCCCCGUACACAAAAGCGCAUGUGCUGUGAGCUCGAUGAGUAGGGCGGGACACGUGGUAUCCUGUCUGAAUAUGGGGGGACCAUCCUCCAAGGCUAAAUACUCCUGACUGACCGAUAGUGAACCAGUACCGUGAGG
rnacentral:rRNA from 1 species